rnacentral:rRNA from 1 species
GACGAACGCUGGCGGCGUGCCUAAUACAUGCAAGUUGAGCGCUGAAGGUUGGUACUUGUACCGACUGGAUGAGCAGCGAACGGGUGAGUAACGCGUGGGGAAUCUGCCUUUGAGCGGGGGACAACAUUUGGAAACGAAUGCUAAUACCGCAUAAAAACUUUAAACACAAGUUUUAAGUUUGAAAGAUGCAAUUGCAUCACUCAAAGAUGAUCCCGCGUUGUAUUAGCUAGUUGGUGAGGUAAAGGCUCACCAAGGCGAAGAUACAUAGCCGACCUGAGAGGGUGAUCGGCCAAAAUGGGAAUGAGACACGGCCCAAACUCCUACGGGAGGCAGCAGUAGGGAAUCUUCGGAAAUGGACGAAAGGCUGACCGAGCAACGCCGCGUGAGUGAAGAAGGUUUUCGGAUCGUAAAACUCUGUUGGUAGAGAAGAACGUUGGUGAGAGUGGAAAGCUCAUCAAGUGACGGUAACUACACAGAAAGGGACGGCUAACUACGUG